CCUACGGGUGGCAGCAGUGGGGAAUAUUGCGCAAUGGGCGAAAGCCUGACGCAGCGACGCCGCGUGAGGGAUGAAGGUCUUCGGAUCGUAAACCCCUGUCAGCAGGGAAGAACGGUCACUGUGCUAAUCAGCAGUGAAUUGACGGUACCUGCAAAGGAAGCACCGGCUAACUCCGUGCCAGCAGCCGCGGUAAUACGGAGGGUGCGAGCGUUAAUCGGAAUUACGGGGCGUAAAGCGCUCGUAGGCGGUAUGUCAAGUCAAGGGUGAAAUCCCCGCGCUCAACGUGGGAACAGCCUUUGAAACUGACAAACUGGAGUGUGUGAGAGGAUAGUGGAAUUCCAGGUGUAGGAGUGAAAUCCGUAGAUAUCUGGAGGAACAUCAGUGGCGAAGGCGACUAUCUGGCACAUAACUGACGCUGAGGAGCGAAAGCGUGGGUAGCAAACAGGAUUAGAUACCCUUGUAGUC
rnacentral:rRNA from 1 species